AUUGAACGCUGGCGGCAUGCCUAACACAUGCAAGUCGAGCGAGCGGCGGACGGGUGAGUAAUGUAUGGGGAUCUGCCCGAUAGAGGGGGAUAACUACUGGAAACGGUGGCUAAUACCGCAUACUAUCGGAUCAACCCAUAUGGGAUUAGCUAGUAGGUGGGGUAAAGGCUCACCAAGGCGACGAUCCGUAGCUGGUCUGAGAGGGUGAUCAGCCACACUGGGACUGAGACACGGCCCAGACUCCUACGGGAGGCAGCAGUGGGGAAUUUUGGGCAAUGGACGAAAGCCUGAUCGAGCCAUGCCGCGUGUAUGAAGAAGGCUUUCGGGUUGUAAAGUUCUGUUGGCAGAGAAGCGGUAUCUAACCAGAAAGCAACGGCUAACUACGUGCCAGCAGCCGCGGUAAUUC
rnacentral:rRNA from 1 species